rnacentral:misc_RNA from 1 species
AACUUUCAGCAAUGGAUCUCUUUGGCUCUGGCAUCGAUGAAGAACGCAGCGAAACGCGAUAUGUAAUCGUGCAUUGCAGACACUUGAAACAUCGAAUCUUUGAACGCACCUUGCGCUGUUUGGUUAUUCCGAACAGCAUGCCUGUUUGAGUGUCGCGACCCUCUCAACCCCGCCAAGGUGUACCUUGGUAGCUGGGCUUGGAUCCUGGUUGCUGCCUGGUUCGCCCUGCUCAACUGAAAUAGAACAAGCUCCCGAGCGUGCGGCUUGACCCAACGUUGUAACUUGAUCGUUGGCUACGCACUGUUCUACUGGGCUUCUCAACCCCCUCUAGUAAACUAGACCUCAAAUCAGGUAGGACUACCCGCUGAACUUAAGCAUAUCAAUAAGCGGAGGCU